ACCCCUGAGUUGACGGCAACUGUCACGAACAACCUCGUUCUCGUGUUCCUGCUGAGCGGCCAUUCCAAAAGCAAUCGUGUAUUCUUCCCACGACGCAUAGCUCAGGUUGGCGCCGGGUGUGAUCUUUGGCCUUUCUCUUCUUGGCAUUGUCUGGUUCUUGCCUGCCUGAAUAAAAAUAGGCGUUCCUGCUUUGCGGUUUUUGGGCAUGUAUGCUUGCCAGGGAGGUGAUUCCGCUUGGUCAACAAGCAAUUUUCCAAGACGCUCAAGACUGAUCAUUAUCUCGCUCCCACGGACAUAGAACACGAGGGUUUCAGAUGAAGCCAGUUGGGAGGCAAGCCUGCGAACCUUUUUUUCCUGACUUCCAUGCUUUAUAAUGCGGUCAUCUGCCAAAAACAAAUUUAGUUUCAUCAUCUUCUAUGCCAGAUGAAUUUGAACAUGAU
rnacentral:sRNA from 2 species